AUAAGGGCGCACGGUGGAUGCCUUGGCACUAGGAGCCGAUGAAGGACGGGACUAACACCGAUAUGCUUUGGGGAGCUGUACGUAAGCUAUGAUCCAGAGAUUUCCGAAUGGGGGAACCCAACAUCUUUAAUAGGAUGUUACGAUUGUGUGAAUACAUAGCACAUUCGAGGUAGACGCAGAGAACUGAAACAUCUAAGUACCUGCAGGAAGAGAAAGAAAAUUCGAUUCCCUGAGUAGCGGCGAGCGAAACGGGAAAAGCCCAAACCAGCAAGCUUGCUUGUUGGGGUUGUAGGACUCCAAUAUGGUAGUUCUUUCAGAUAGUCGAAUGACUUGGAAAAGUCAGUCAAAGAGGGUAAAAACCCCGUAGACGAAAUGUGGAAGACACCUAGGAGGAUCCUGAGUACGGCGGAACACGAGAAAUUCCGUCGGAAUCCGGGAGGACCAUCUCCCAAGGCUAAAUACUCCCUAGUGACCGAUAGUGAACCAGUACCGUGAGGGAAAGGUGAAAAGCACCCCGGAAGGGGAGUGAAAUAGAACCUGAAACCGUGUGCCUACAACAAGUCAAAGCCCGUUAAUGGGUGAUGGCGUGCCUUUUGUAGAAUGAACCGGCGAGUUACGAUUGCAUGCGAGGUUAAGUUGAAGAGACGGAGCCGCAGCGAAAGCGAGUCUGAAUAGGGCGUUUGAGUAUGUAGUCGUAGACCCGAAACCAUGUGAUCUACCCAUGUCCAGGUUGAAGGUGCGGUAAAACGCACUGGAGGACCGAACCCACGUACGUUGAAAAGUGCGGGGAUGAGGUGUGGGUAGCGGAGAAAUUCCAAACGAACUUGGAGAUAGCUGGUUCUCUCCGAAAUAGCUUUAGGGCUAGCCUCGGAAUUGAGAAUGAUGGAGGUAGAGCACUGUUUG
rnacentral:rRNA from 1 species